rnacentral:rRNA from 1 species
UACGAAGGGGGCUAGCGUUGCUCGGAAUCACUGGGCGUAAAGGGCGCGUAGGCGGCCAUUCAAGUCGGAGGUGAAAGCCCAGGGCUCAACCCUGGAAUUGCCUUCGAUACUGUUUGGCUAGAGACCGGAAGAGGUAAGUGGAACUGCGAGUGUAGAGGUGAAAUUCGUAGAUAUUCGCAAGAACACCAGUGGCGAAGGCGGCUUACUGGUCCGGUUCUGACGCUGAGACGCGAAAGCGUGGGGAGCGAACAGG